AUACGUAGGGUGCAAGCGUUAAUCGGAAUUACUGGGCGUAAAGCGUGCGCAGGCGGUUUUGGAAGACAGAGGUGAAAUCCCCGGGCUCAACCUGGGAACUGCCUUUGUGACUGCAAGGCUAGAGUACGGCAGAGGGGGAUGGAAUUUCGCGUGUUGCAGUGAAAUGCGUAGAUAUGCGGAGGAGCACCGAUGGCGAAGGCAAUCCCCUGGGCCUGUACUGACGCUCAUGCACGAAAGCGUGGGGAGCAAACAGGAUUAGAUACCCUGGUAGUCCACGCCCUAAACGAUGUCAACUGGUUGUUGGGUCUUCAUUGACUCAGUAACGAAGCUAACGCGUGAAGUUGACCGCCUGGGGAGUACGGCCGCAAGGUUGAAACUCAAAUGAAUUGACGGGG
rnacentral:rRNA from 1 species